UGCGCAGGCGGUUCGCCAAGUCAGGUGUGAAAUCCCCGGGCUUAACCUGGGAAUUGCGCUUGAAACUAGCGGGCUUGAGUGCGGCAGAGGGGGUGGAAUUCCACGUGUAGCAGUGAAAUGCGUAGAGAUGUGGAGGAACACCGAUGGCGAAGGCAGCCCCCUGGGUCGACACUGACGCUCAUGCACGAAAGCUGGGAGCAAACA
rnacentral:rRNA from 1 species